rnacentral:rRNA from 1 species
AUUGACGGACUGAAGGCUCUUUCUCGAUUCCGUGGAAAGUGGUGCAUGGCCGUUUUGGUUGGUGGAUCGAUCCGUCUGGUUAAUUCCGUUAACGAACGAGACCUCGGCACUCCGAAUAGCGCGGCGGACGUCGCGGCCUCCGGGCCGUCUUCCGCACGAGCUUCUUAGAGGGACCGUCCCCCGCCGGGGAAGGAGGUGCGAGGCAACGACAGGUCUGUGAUGCCCUUAGAUGUUCUGGGCCGCACGCGCAUUACACUGACGCGUCCAACGGGUGACUCCCGACCCGAAGGGGCCGGGGAAUCCGCAAGGCGCGUCGUGAUGGGGAUUGAACGUUGCAAUUGUUGUUCACGAACGAGGAAUUCCUAGUAGGCGCGGGUCAUCAACCCGCGCCGAUUACGUCCCUG